rfam:Canis lupus familiaris chromosome 6, whole genome shotgun sequence.
GCGCACUUUGGCAGCACAUAUACUAAAAUUGGAAUGACACAGAGAAGAUUAACAUGGGCCCUGCGCAAAGAUGACACACAAAUUCACGAAGGUUCCAUAUUUUU